rnacentral:misc_RNA from 1 species
UGCGUGUGCCAUACGGGCGCG